GACAUGCAUAGCACGGUUAUCAAAUUACUGUUUCUAAUAUUUUAUCUAGCAAUUAGACUCUUGGAAUUUUCUAUUAUUUGUUAAAUCAGAUCUGAAUUGCUAGGGAAGAAAGAAAGGUUAUAGUAAUUGAUAAAAGCACAUACGUGAUGCAUACAUAACUGAUAUUGAUUUCUGUCAAAUCAGUUGUGAGCCCUCCAUCAGGUAUCUGUGUGAAUACAUUGUCUUAUGAAUGUAUUUCCACUAUUUUGAAAAUAAAGUACAGUGGCCGUCCUCUUACAGUCAGAGAGAGCUUAAAUAUAGUUCAAUCUUCAGAGAAACACCAUAAAAAAGUCAAGGGCCCAAGCUCACAAACACUAUAUUUGGGUUUGUUAAAUGGAUGCAUCAAAACAUUGAGUUUGCUAGAAAUUCUAAAAUCAGACUAAAUUAAAUAAUGACUAUAGACUAUAUACGAAUAUAAUAAGAUACCCAAAAGUAAAUAAAUUUUGUUCUGUUAAAAUAUUUCAGAUAUAUCAAUUUGAAACCAAAUAAGGCUGCUAUGUCUGCAUCACAUUAUAUUUAGUCAUAUCAGAAUGCUUGUAACAAAAUCUAUAAUAUAUCCUUGUAAACAAUGUUUUUUGCAACCUUGUCGGAUGGACAUUUCAUCUGAGAUGAGUAUCUUCAAUCCAUUUCUGCUGGUCACCCUUGACAUUGCAACAUAGAGUUGUCCAUGUGUGAACACUUGCCUUUCUAAGUAGAGUCGAACAUUUUUGAGAGAUUGCCCCUGGCUUUUGUUUAUAGUCAUAGCAAAGCACACUGAUAUUGGGUAUUGUCUCCUUUUAAGAAUGAAAGGCCAUUUUGAAUCACUUGGUGACAUGAUAAUUCGUGGGAUGUAAACUUUGUCACCAACGUUAGGACCUGUUAUGACCUGGCCUUCAAUGAAACGCUUUCCUAGCUGUGUUAUUGUUAGUCUUGUCCCAUUGCAAAGUCUUGCACUUUGAUUGAUGUUCCUCAUAAGCAUUAUUGGUAAUCCUACUUUCAGGCUCAGUUCAUGGUCUGGUAUUCCAGAAAAUGUAAGACUAUUCAGAAACUCAGUUGGGUACAACAUAUCUUCAUCUUCCACCGUAGACAUUGCCUUGCAUGUUGUAUCUGAACUGAAAUAGGUUACCUCUUCUCCAGGGAUUUGACUCAUGAUGUAGGCAUUAAUCUGGUCAACAGUCUCGUUUCUUGGGCACAAGAUCGCUCUUUCCUCAAGGUAUGUUCUAUCAGUGUAUUUUCUGUGUAAGUCAGGAUAGGUGGUGUUAACAAUAGAUGCUUUCGGGUCAUCCCCUUCAUGUAAAAUAAGGUCCUCUGGGAUGCUAACCCAAUCCUCUUCAUCUAUUGUUGACGUUGUGCCAUCGCCUAUGUUUAGUAUCCAGUUUGCGAAUUCAGCUGUUUUUGCUUUCUCUUCUGGACUACCUUCGGAUGAAUUCAGACGCAUAUUUUCUUUGAGUCGGUACUCCUCAAAGUUCUUCCAUAGGUAGGAUCUCUUUAUUGAUGCAGAAAUGAUAUGUUCCCUUUUCCCCUUUGGUAUAACUGGUAGGAUUUGCCUGAAGUCACCUCCCAAGACUACUGUCAUUCCUCCAAAUGGUCUAUGCUCUGCGUCCUCAUAUGUGAAUCGAAGUAUGUCUCUCAAACUCUUAUCUAGUGCCUCAAAACAGUGCUUGUGUGUCAUAGGUGCUUCAUCCCAUAUUAUCAGUGACGUUUUCUUUAUUAGCUCCGCAAGAAAUGUUCCUUGCUUGAUGUUGCAUGUGGACUCGUUAGUGAUCUUGAGGGGAAUGUGAAAUCUUGAAUGAGUUGUUCUUCCACCCUGUAAAAGAAGUGCUGCUAUACCACUUGAAGCAACUGCUAGAACUAUUUUUCCUUCAGAUCUUAAUUUUGUCAUGACUGCUUUCCACAGAAAUGUCUUUCCAGUUCCACCAUAUCCGUCAACAAAAAUCAAUUUUCCAAGACUGUCGUUGACUGAUUCUAUUAUAACGUCAAAAGCCAUCCUCUGAUCCUGAUUUAGCUUAUGCAGUAACUUCAUGUGUUCUAUUCUUAAAGAAUCUUUAUCAUAGUUUAGUUCCUCAUUUACUAAUCUAUUAUUUAGAUCUUGAAGAACUGAACUAUCUGGUAGUGGCAUUCCUAGAAAAUCUUUGAGGGACUUACCACCUUUAGUCAAUAGUUGUUCUAUCUCUGCCAGGAGCAGGCUCUUUAUUUGUGCCGAGUUGAGUUCCAGGGCCUGAAAAUUGAAUAUUCUUCUUUGCCGACGUUGGAUAUCCUCAUAUAGUAACUCCCAAUUUGUUUGCCACAACUUUGCGGGAUCCAUCACCUCACAAAAUAAAAGUAUUGUGCAGAAAAGUUGGCGCAUUUGAGGAGUGGAGGCCCAAUGGGAUGCUUCCUUGAUGCAGUCAUCCCACUCUUUGUCAUCAUUAAGUAUCCCAAGAGCAUAACAUGUGGAUUUGAAUGUUGGAUGUACAACCCCAUCAACUGUUCGAAUUUCUUCAUAUGAUCUGCAUCCUUUGACGGUAUUUAACAGCAUUCUCAAGUAGUAUUUUUCACCGCUCGUUGGUUGUGCAUAGUAAAUCCUGCCUAUGGUUUUUUUCCACCACGCCUUUUCCUCCAUUCUUUCUCUUGUGCAUGCCAAGUCCAUUUGGUUGGAAACUAUGCAUACGUCAAUCUGCGAGCUUCUUCAUGCAACUAGUUGGCUGUCAUCCAUUCUGUGAACAUUGUCUUUUCUAUGUUAGGCCGGGAUACAAUUUGAUCUAAAUCCAUUGAGUCCGGGAACACCACAACAUGUUCAUUUUCUAGGUGAAAUUGUAACCUUUCAACCGCAGGCUCUCUGUACUAAAGAGGAAACUGAAAUAUGCGCCAUGCGGCUUCACAUCCAGAUAUGUACCGGGCAUCAAGAGACCAAAUUUUGGAACUGUGAUGUUACCUGUGCUUGUGCUUCUCUCUCCAUGCCACAUAAUGGCAUUGCAAAAUUCACAAACACAAUUUGGUUUUCCCAGAUAUGAAACUUGAGUGACAUCCUUCGCUACAUUAGAUACUUCACAGUCAUUGCCCUUUUCUGUCCUUAGUCGUUUGCUUGCCUUUUUCAGCUGGAGGAUCUCUUUCCUUUUCCGCCUAGCUUCCUUUGCUGCUGCUCUAAUGAUGUCUGAUUGACUAUCAUUAGAUUCGAGUGUUGCUAGUUUAGAGGCUGAUUGCUCAGUGUGUGUUCGACGCAUGUUGACUGCGGCUAGUGAAUCCUGAAAUAAUGAGGCACCACAUUGUUUGCAAGAAUGCUGAAGGAGACAUGCAUAUAUUAUUUGUGGAAGGAGAUAAUGAACAUUGGCUGCAAGUACUGCCACGCAACCUGUCUGCUCCUUGCUGCUUGCGAGAGGAGGGCAAUGUCUUGCCAGGAUGUGCAUGCUCUGUAAUUGGUGAUCUGAAUCCCAAGUUUAUCGGCGCUUUCUCUCCGUAAUUCAAGUUAAUACAAAGCAUGUGUAAUGAGAUCGGAGAGUUAAUGCAUAUAUUAAUCAUUGCAAGGAGACAUGCAUGUAUUAUUUGUGGAAGGAGAUAAUGAACAUUACCUGCAAGUACUGUCACACAACCUGUCUGCUCCUUGUUGCUGGCGAGAGGACUAAUUAUUGCAUGUAUGUGAUGAAGGAUGAGAUCAGGGGUGAUGUCUUGCCUUGAUGUGUACGAAUUGAGUCGAUAUAGAAUUCUUAUUUGUAAAGAAGCGUAGUUAAGGCUAGAGUUUGUAGGUUAGAGUUUGUCAUCUGUACAUUUUAAACCUAUACAAUAUCUGAGCCGUUAUUAUUUUGUGUCA